AAGCAGCGAGCCUCAUGACCUGACGAGGACUGCUGGUGGGUGACGGCAGUUUAAGUGAUCUCUAUAGUUCUGCUCAGUUGCACUGUUCAGAAAGCCUGGAUUUCAAAAUUAGAGUCACAUAACCAUAGAAUAUCCUGAAUUGGAUCUAUAAGGAUUGUUGAUUCCAACUCCUGGCUCCACACAGAACCACUCCAA